GAAUUGAGUGAUUUAUGUAAAAGCAAUGCUAAUGAAUAGUCUCAGCCAUUCUGGGCUUCUUUUAUGUGGAUCUAUUUCUUUUUCUUAUGGUUUCAGUCUGAAGGCACUCUCAUUAUGUUAACUAGCUUAGGCAGCAAUUUUAAUAUUAAUUUUGCAACAUAAAUGGGCUCAUUGUCCAAGUUGUAGAUGCCUAAAGCAAUGGUAACUUUUAAAGACACUUUCAUCAAAUUGCUUGUAUUUGUUUUCCUGAAAGAAUUAAUCCAGGAGCAAGGCUGCUUCUCUUUAUUGUUUAGUGUCAGCUUGUACCUGCUUUGCCUCCCCCACGAACUCGUCAGAAAGCUCACAGUGCCAGGGUUUUACCGGUAGCUCUACCCAUGUUGGUCAUUUUGUCCCAGACAUCUUCAUGGGCUUGAAACUGACUUUGCAAACAUGUAAGUAUGGGCUUUUAAAAGUAGAUAUUACUAUCUCAUGUCAAUAUUCUUUCUAUCCUUCCCAGAGUAAAAACACAGGUUCUAUGGCAUUUGGAUCUAUUAGAGGAAGCAGCCCAGUAAACGCAGUGAGUGGUGAUCAGGCACAGCUCUCUCUGCUGAGGUCUGGCUGGACUGAUCCUGUGGAAGGGAACAGCACAAUGUCCAUACUGCUCCUGUGAUAUAUAGAGGAUAGCUAUUGAAUGCAAGGGCCCUGGUUCAAAUCCCUGUUCUACCACUUCCUGUGAGAUUGUAGAAGUUACUUAACUUUUCUCUACCUUAGUUUCUUCAUCUAAAAAUGGGAGACUAGUGGCUAUCUCAAAUGACCGUCGUGAGGAUUCAAUGAGUUAACACACAUGUUUAAGCUACUGUCAGGUACCUAUUUAAAUACUCAAUAAAUAUCAGCUGCCAUUCCUCCUCCUCCUAUGACACUUCUCCUGCUACUGCCAUUCUCCUCAAGCAUGGUAAGCUCUUCUUCAUCCAUGUACAGAGAGUGGGAGGUGCAUUUGGAGCAUUUAUCUCUCCUUUAACUGUGACGGUGGCUUCAUAGACCUUGGACCCUACUCAUCUGAGUUAAGUAGACACAACAAUAACCCAGGAACACAUUAAACCCUUGCUGCCUCAUUAUUUACUUGCUGCAAUUUUACUGUAUAAUUACAUGGAAUUUUGGUAUCCCUUUGCAGCCUAAAUGUUCUGAGGUUAGAUUGGAAGUGCCAUCAUGUCUAUUUUUCAUUCAUCAAACCUUACCAUGCAGCACUAAGCACAGCGUGGCUGGAAGACUGAGUAAGGUAGUUCCCCUCUUAAACAACCUUAUGAUCAGCAGAAGAAAUAAUGUAUGGAUACGAAUCAUUUUAAGAAUAACAAUGAUAUAUAUUUGAAAAUUUGCUCCUUGGCAGGUUGUGCUGAGCACUUUCCAUUUUUUAUGUAAUUGAAUUCCUAUAAUGGUAGAGGACAAUGAUGUAGGGACAAAGUCCUGUGGUUUAAGUAGUAAGUGGAAAAACAAGGAGUUGAACUCUGACUUCAAAGCUUGUGAUCAUGCUCAUACGUGUCACAAACACACUCCAUGAGAGACUGUCACAAGGCCCUUUGUGAGGCAGAGGAGGGAGAAGUCACUUCUAGUUGGUGUGUUAGUGGUGCAGUGUGCUUUUGAGGAAGGUUUGGUGGCAAAGGUAGAUUUUUAGCCUUAGCAUUUCACAACUGGUGGGCAGAAUUUAGAUGGGCAGAAGCAUUUUAGGAGGAUUUGUUCAUGCCUGUUUAUCAAAUGGAUGGAAGAACUAUCCCCUGCCUUAUAGGAUCAUUGUGAAAAUCAAAAUAAGGCACAGCAUUGAAACCUAGUAAACUGAUGGAUGCUACAAUUGCUAUUAUUAAAGAGGAGCCCUUGAGGUCGUUGGACAAGUGGGUGCCAUGAACAGAAGCUGGCUUUUAGAAGAUUACUCUGACACAUGCAUCUGUGAGGAAGAGGAAAUACUAAGAGUGAGAGAUCAGUAGGAAACGACUGAAUGAUAUAUAAAGGAGAGAGAAUGAAGACCUGGAGGGAGGUGGCUGGCGUUAAGCCUUUGACGUGCUAGGGGCAGUGUUAGGGCUGUUGGCUGCCUGUUUGUCAUAGUGUAUCAGGUACCCCAAGUAUUUCUCUGUCCUUUUAAACCCAUUGGAUAUUUAAGGUGGGGUAAAGUUUUAAGACAGAAUUGAGAUCUAGAUGGUUCUGACUUCCCAGGCACUAAAUACCUCCACUUUAGCAUUCUGCCUUGUGGCAUUUGUGGGACAGAUUUUCUAUUACACUGGUUAAGUUUCAGCUCUGUGGGAUUUCUCCAGCUCUAUGUCUUCUCCAGUUUAAUGGAAGCCACGUAACUAUCAUGACUCAGUAUUUUAGUUGGGAAAAAAUCAUAUGAAUGUUAGAUCCACUAAUAACCAAUAAUUAUAACCUUCAAAAACAAAAGGGUUUGCCGAGCACUUCACUGAUUUCCAUAAAAGCAAGCCACUUUCUAGCCUGUCCCUUCCCUCUCUGUCAACAGAAAUCAUAUUUAUUUGUUAUUCACAAUUCCAAGUAUCAAAAGAAAGACAAUGAUCUUUUAUCCUUGUCAUAUUAUUAAUACUAUAUACCAAGGUGGCAUAUUUUUGAUGAGAAGGAUAAAUUUCAAAUAAUUAUUUUGAUUUACUUCAUAAAUCUUUGUCUUUUAUGUUGAAGCACAUAACAACUUCAUCUCUCUGAGUGGUCUGGCGCUGACGUUUCACCACUUCAACGGUUUGGCUCGUGAUUCAGUCAUGACAGAGUCACACAGAGCUAUUCUGGCAAGAGCAAGAAUAGAAUCUGCAGGAUAAGCCCAGAGAGCUGUGUGCCCACCACACAAUAGGGGACAACUUGCCAGUGAGAAGUCAAGCCCUGGUUUAUUGUGAGGCAUGAAAUAUCAACAGCUGAAAUUUUUGCUCUGCCAACUAGAAAUGAGGCAAGACAUGUUAAAAAAAAUUUUUUUUUUUUUUUAGUAAGACUGGGAAUGUAGAAAUGCAGCAGCCUGGACAAACAAGAGGGAAGAGAAAUAAACAUACACCAGUAAUUCAGGGUCCAGACUUGCCUGCUGGAGCUCUGUUCCAACAGAACGUGAAUUCCUCUAACUGAAAUCACUUACAUGUCAUCCUAGACUUUGGAAUCUGCUGAAAGAUGCCCUGAGUCUGUAGAAGUAAUAGAUGCCCUGAGUCCAAGCAUCUCAUUAGAUCUCCUCUUGACUAUUACUUUCAUCUACUGGUUUACCGUUAUAUUAUCAACACCUACUACUAUAAUCAACACCUGACACAUAGUAGGAGUACAGUAAAAGUUUAGGCAAAAGGUCCCAAAACCUGGGUUUUUGUCUUGUUUCUCAUGGCCAAGAGGAAAUCCCAGAGGAAAAGCUGAAUACAAGGAAUUAAAGGAUAUGAGGAACCAAAGAAGAAAUACAAGGAACCAAGUCAGCCAUUUCCCAGUGGUUACCUAGAGCUUGAAGUUCUGCAUCUCACUCCCAUGGCUGUUACAUGUUGCUUGGCACCAGUUCUCCUCUUCUUGCCCUUAUUCUCGCUGCCUGCUCCUCAGAAAUCUGUGUACACACCUCCAUGUCUAGACUUCUUCCUCUUAUCUACCACUGGGUGCUGUUCUUCUUGGUUGCCCUGUGGAGUGGGGUGUCUAACCCCUGGUGCUGAUCUUUCUCACCCAGCCCAUUCCACCACUGGCCAUGACCUGAUUUGGCAGUUACUUGAGGAAAGGGAUGGCCAGUAUAAAACCUUCAAUGAAAGAGAUUUAUCUAUGAUUUUUAAAUAGAGAAUAUUCCAAAUUCUUACUGCACAACCUUUUGAGAACAUAUGCUAUAGUUCCCUAGCAGUGGGUCUAUCUUGGUAAUCCACAGUCUCUCUUCAACAGGCUGAAAAUUGGCUUGAUCAGGAUUUGUAGAAAGAGACAGAAUUAAAGGAAGAGUUCCUAUUUUUCUUUCCUUAUUCCCUACCAUAUUUACCUCUCUCCACAUCAGCAGGGCAAUAUCUGAGGAUAGUUUUUAAUCAUUUAGUUGAGGAAUAUAUAAAAUCCCUCUAAAAGAACACUAUAAAAUCAUUGGUUUGACUGUUUCUCCCUCAUACCCUUUCAAAGACUGGCAAAGAAUAAAAGAAUCUAAUGCUUCUCACUGAGCCCCAGGAUGACAGAGGAAGCUGACUAAUAUGACCCUUUGGGUUGGUAACCAGGAUCUGGAGAAUUAGCCAGCAUGGUAGGGGCUAAAGCUGAGUUUCAUGCUUCAGUCCAGCAAUUGCACCCCUAAUUGGGCACAUAGUUGCACUUUCAUGGCAUAUAAACACUUUAAAGAACCAGUACUCAAGAGAGAAGGCUACUGUGUGUUUUCCUGAGGGCGUAGUCAGGGAGUAAAGAAUGCAGGGCUCUUUAAGCAAAAUUAGGCAUUUAAUUGCACAUCUAGACUUCACUGAUGGCUUUGCACAUGCAUGUGAUUAUGAUUCACUUGAAAGCGCUCCUUUGAGGAGAGUCUGCACUCUACUUCUUUACAAAACAAAUUAGGAAGGAAAAUAUUCAAAAUGUUUAAUUUUUAAGGUCUAUUUCUUGAGUUUCUUUUUAGUUCUUACUUGCCUUCAAGUUUCUAGAGAGUUAAACCAACCACCACCACAGGGAAUUCCACAUCUGACUCUUAUAAAGUACAUAAAACAGAAUAUACAUAGCUGUGGGUAGUUUGCAAUUAGAGCAUAAGUAUAGUACAAAUGUGGUGCUUCUCAUCUACCAACAUUCCUCUUCCUUCCUCUCAGAUUUUCAGAUUGAGAAAUGGAGGCAUCGAGGUCAAAUCUUUUACCUAAACCACUGAGCAGCAGAGACAGUACUAGAGUCAACAGCUGUUCUGAUGAAAUAGACGUGGUCCUCCAUUCACCACAAAGGCAGAGGUCAAGACUGACAGCAACUGCGCAUCACCAGGCGGAAAUUGCUAAGUUCUGGAGGCCGGCGCUGAUGCGAGACUGGGGCCUGCUGGAUCUGUCCCUGGUCACAGAGCAGCUGUGCGCUGUCAAAGUGCCGAGCGCUGUUACAGGUUUUUGCAGUUGUUGUUAUUUAAACCUCAAUCUAAAAAUCUAGUUUAAGAAGUGGGAAUGUUUGUGAUACACGUGAAUAAACCAAGGGGAAGAACUCAGAAGUUACAUCAUCCAUGAAGGGUGAAAAUGUGAUGAACUUUCACUGCUCCAAAGCACUAUAAACCAAAAUUUUGCCUGAUGGGAAAACAAUGACACAUCCUUCCUGUUUUUCUUGCCUCCUGGAGCAACUUCAAAAAUCUCCUUCCUCCAUCCUUCCUCAUCUGAUAUUUAGCAUUUAUACUUUUAGACUACAUAUAACAACAACCAUAUAAAAAGCUGGGUAUGUGGAUACAUAUAUGUAAGCAGAAUUUUGCUGAAUUAUUAAAAAUGUGUUAAUUACAAUGUUUCAAAGUUUUUAAAGCAUAUACCCUCUGACUUAAUUAUUGCAGUUUUAGGAAUUUAUCCUACAGAUGCACUUGCACAUGCAUGAACUGCAGAACUGUUUGCAGUAGUAAAUACUGGAAACCAUCUAAAUGUUCACCCCAGAGGACUGGUUAAAUAGCACAUCCACAUGAUGGAAUACCGAUGCAGUCACUUAAAAGCAUUAGAGAUGCAAAGCUUCAUGGACUGAUAUAGAAUAACUGCCAGGAUGAAUUAACUGAAAAAGCAGGUAUGAAAAAAAGUGUAUACUUCUCAUUUGUGUAAAAAAAUACUUAUUUGUGCUUUCAUGUGCACAUAUAACAUUUAGAAAGUUUUGCAGAUGGAAUUACAAAUACUUUUCAAAUUGUAAAGAAAGAUAUCAAGGGAGAACUUAUUAUGAAACUUAUUGUGCAACGUUGCUCUUUUAUUUAUAUAUCUGCUUGCCCUCUAGACAUAAGUAUGCUUUUUAAGGAUGACGAUGAAAUCCAGUUCAAAACCUGGCAUAUAGUAAGUGAUUAACUAUAAAUGAAUUUAUGACUUUACAAAAAUAACAUUCACUGUACUUGGUGUUUAUAACCUUGAUGUCCCACUUAAACUAAAAACAAAAAAGUGCUUUACAAAUGUUAUUUUAUAAAAGUGGCUUGUAUUUUUCUCCUAAAUAAGCUUGAAAUUGGGCAUUAUUAAUCAGGUUCUCGGCUUCAUCUUGGAUUUCAGCAAGUUUUAGAAUGUACAUAUAAAAUGAACAUAUUUAAUGACGCCUUUCUCACUGUGCAGAAAAUGGAUGCUUGCCAUUUUUUCUCCCUUUGCCAUAAACAAGAGAUUUAUUUUAAAUAGUUCUCUGAAAAUAAUUUAUUAACAAGGCCACUUUUACUACUCUAGAAAUGAAAACUAGAUGUCAAUGUACAGGAGACUAUUUCCUACAUUUUUUUUUUUAAACAAUCAUACCUAGGUCUAAUCAUUUUCUCUCAAGCCAUGUUGCAUUAGGGAAACAAAUAAUUUUAUGGUAAAAAAAGAACAACUGGUGGAUUUUGACAACAAAAGACAUACGUCAAAGGA
rnacentral:lncRNA from 1 species